GAUUUUGCUCCUGAAACUGUUUCAAUGUUUCUUCUGCAUGUUUUCGCACUGUUGAAUCAACUGAUUGUGCAUUUAGAAGGACCUGAGUGACUUCCAUUGCAAUGUGAUUCCUGAAAAUUGUAGAUGCGGCAAAUGAGAUGGUAACCAGCAAAUUACACUGAGGGAUCGAAUAUACCAGAAACGGCGCCCAAUUGAAACCCUAAAAUUGCAGAUGCGUUGAAUGAGAUUGAAACCAGCAGAUUACACUGUGGGAUUGAGUGAAUCAAAAC
rnacentral:misc_RNA from 1 species